rnacentral:lncRNA from 1 species
AGGGACUGGGAUGGACUGGGAUUGAACUGGGAUGGACUGGGAUGGACUGGGGGGGAACUGGGAUGAACUGGGAGGGAACUGGUUUAUACUGGGAUGAACUGGGAGGGACUGGGAGGGACUGGGAGGGAACUGGGAGGGAACUGGGAUGGACUGGGAUGGACUGGGAUGGAACUGGUUUAUACUGGGAUGAACUGGGAUGGACUGGGAUGGACUGGGAGGGAACUGGGAGGGAACUGGGAUGGACUGGGAUGAACUGGGAUGGACUGGGAUGAAACUGGUUUAUACUGGGAGGGAACUGGGAUUGAACUGGGAUGAACUGGGAGGGAACUGGGAAGGAACUGGUUCAUACUGGGAUGACCCAGGACCAAACUGGGAUGAACUGGGAGGGAACUGGGAGGGAACUGGUUUAUACUGGGAUGGAACUGGGAUGAACUGGGGUGGAACUGGGAGGGGGUUACUGGUCCAUACUGGUCCGUACUGGUCCGUACUGGUCUCACCUCCAGGAAGGGCUGCAGGCCCCGCCCACUUCCCAGAAUUCCCAGCACCUGCUCCCGGAAGCUCUCCUCGGCCACAGCCACCAGGGGGCGCCCUUGCAGCGUCUGGGGGCGGGGCCUGGAUCAGGACACGCCCCUUUCUUCCAUAUAUGGGAAGGGUGUGCUUGGCCACGCCCCCUUCUUUCAUAUGUGGGUGGUUUGGGCUAGCCACGCCCCUUUUUCCAUAUAUGGGGAGAGUGGAAUUCACCACGCCCCUUCUGGGAGGAGUUAAAGGGAGUCCAGGGCUCCCAGUAUGGGCCCGGUUCAUCCCAGUUCAAUCCCAGUUCAUCCCAGUUCAAUCCCAGUUCAUCCCAGUUCAAUCCCAGUUCAAUCCCAGUUCAUCCCAGUUCAUCCCAGUCCAUCCCAGUUCAUCCCAGUCCAUCCCAGUCCAUCCCAGUUCAUCCCAGUUCAUCCCAGUUCAUCCCAGUUCAAUCCCAGUUCAAUCCCAGUCCAUCCCAGUCCAUCCCAGUUCCAUCCCAGUCCAUCCCAGUCAAUCCCAGUUCAUCCCAGUUCAAUCCCAGUUCAAUCCCAGUUCAAUCCCAGUCCAUCCCAGUCCAUCCCAGUCCAUCCCAGUCCAUCCCAGUCCAUCCCAGUUCA